rnacentral:rRNA from 1 species
UACGUAGGGUGCAAGCGUUGUCCGGAAUUAUUGGGCGUAAAGAGCUUGUAGGCGGUUUGUCGCGUCUGCUGUGAAAUUUCGGGGCUCAACCCCGAACUUGCAGUGGGUACGGGCAGACUAGAGUGCGGAAGGGGCAACUGGAAUUCCCAGUGUAGCGGUGAAAUGCGUAGAUAUUGGGAAGAACACCUGAGGCGAAGGCGGGUUGCUGGGCCGACACUGACGCUGAGGCGCGAAAGCCAGGGGAGCGAACGGG